AACGAGCGCUGGCGGCAGGCCUAACACAUGCAAGUCGAACGCCCCGCCAGGGGAGUGGCAGACGGGUGAGUAACACGUGGGAACCUUCCCUAUAGUACGGAAUAGCCCAGGGAAACUUGGAGUAAUACCGUAUACGCCCGAAAGGGGAAAGAAUUUCGCUAUAGGAUGGGCCCGCGUAGGAUUAGCUAGUUGGUGAGGUAAUGGCUCACCAAGGCGACGAUCCUUAGCUGGUUUGAGAGAACGACCAGCCACACUGGGACUGAGACACGGCCCAGACUCCUACGGGAGGCAGCAGUGGGGAAUAUUGGACAAUGGGCGCAAGCCUGAUCCAGCCAUGCCGCGUGAGUGAUGAAGGCCUUAGGGUUGUAAAGCUCUUUUGGCGGGGACGAUAAUGACGGUACCCGCAGAAUAAGUCCCGGCUAACUUCGUG
rnacentral:rRNA from 1 species